rnacentral:rRNA from 1 species
UACGGAGGGUGCAAGCGUUGUCCGGAAUCACUGGGCGUAAAGGGCGCGUAGGCGGCUCGGUAAGUAGGGGGUGAAAUCCUGCGGCUUAACCGCAGGGCUGCCUUCUAAACUGUCGAGCUCGAGCACGGUAGAGGCAGAUGGAAUUCCCGGUGUAGCGGUGGGAAUGCGUAGAGAUCGGGAAGAACAUCAGUGGCGAAGGCGGUCUGCUGGGCCGUUGCUGACGCUGAGGCGCGACAGCGUGGGGAGCAAACAGG